rnacentral:rRNA from 1 species
AUUGAACGCUGGCGGCAUGCUUUACACAUGCAAGUCGAACGGUAACAGGCCUUCGGGUGCUGACGAGUGGCGAACGGGUGAGUAAUGCAUCGGAACGUACCCAGAGGUGGGGGAUAACGCAGCGAAAGCUGUGCUAAUACCGCAUGUGAUCUGAGGAUGAAAGCGGGGGACCGAGCAGCAAUGUUUGGCCUCGCGCCUUUGGAGCGGCCGAUGUCGGAUUAGCUAGUUGGUGGGGUAAAGGCCUACCAAGGCGACGAUCCGUAGCUGGUCUGAGAGGACGACCAGCCACACUGGGACUGAGACACGGCCCAGACUCCUACGGGAGGCAGCAGUGGGGAAUUUUGGACAAUGGGCGCAAGCCUGAUCCAGCAAUGCCGCGUGCGGGAAGAAGGCCUUCGGGUUGUAAACCGCUUUCGGCAGGAACGAAACGGUGUCCGCUAAUACCGGGCGCUAAUGACGGUACCUGCAGAAUAAGCACCGGCUGACUACGUG